GCUGAAACUUUGUUGGGAAUGGCGCCAUAACCCAAAUUUGGUGAUGCAAUUUGGCAACGUGGAAGCUGAGAUUGAAUUCUUCGCUUCCCUCGUCAAAGCUGACGGUUGGCUGAAAGGAGAUGUAAGUUUAAUUGAUUAUGCAUUUGUUUUAAUGUACAUAGAUUAUGAGAUUGACAAGAAAAACAUGUUGCAGCACAUUGAUUUGGGGUUGUAUCUCAUCCGGAAGCGACAACAAGAGUUGGAGGAAGUAGAAAUAUCGGACUGGACAACGACCGAUGUAUUUUUUAUGAAUCACAUUCAUACUUGCUUUGCGGAUAAUAAAAG